UAACCUGAGUGAGAGCUACCUUGUGGUGGU
rnacentral:piRNA from 1 species